CCUACGGGCGGCAGCAGUGGGGGAUAUUGCACAAUGGGGGGAACCCUGAAGCAGCGACGCCGCGUGGGUGAAGGAGCGUUUCGGCGCGUAAAGCCCCAUCUGUAGGGAAGUAGAUGACGGUACGUGACCAAGAAGCCCCGGCUUACUACGUGACAGCAGCCGCGGUAAUAUGUAGGGGGCAAGCGUUAUCCGGAUUUACGGGGUGUAAAGGGGGUGCAGACGGCAAUGCAAGCCAGGAGUGAAAGCCCGGGGCCCAACCCCGGGACUGCUCUUGGAACUGCAUGGCUGGAGUACAGGAGGGGCAGGCGGAAUUCCUAGUGUAGCGGUGAAAUGCGUAGAUAUUAGGAGGAACACCGAUGGCGAAGGCGGCCUGCUGGACUGUGACUGACGUUGAGGCCCGAAGGCGUGGGUAGCAAACAGGAUUAGAUACCCGUGUAGUC
rnacentral:rRNA from 1 species